GAUUGGUUGAAGUUUCAAUCCCUUAGCUUGCAGCUAUGACCCAUUUCGGCUUAGGGGAAAGUCCCCUUAGGGAAGUCCCUAUUGACCCAGGAAGUCCAGCCAACUUAGCCACUUAGUCCCUCAGCCCUGGCUUGUGGAAGCAGAGAUUCCUAAUACGGCCCUCACUUCUCCACUUUCUCCACUGGGGUUGGAAGCAGUAGGAGUAGCUAUAGAGGAUGUAUUAACACCAAUUUACAGAGAUCCUAUUGAAUUUACAUCUCUCCAGCAGGUGUGAUGCAAGGAAAACAAAGCUAAUACCCAAAGUCUUUGAGCGUGGAAAGAGAGAAAGUCCACUUUAAGCGAUGGAAAAUCAGCCCCAAUUCUGAAGGAACAACCAUGAACAGAUGAUUUAAGGAGAAUCAAUUCUUUGCUCUUUGCAGAAGGAGCCAACAGAGUGAGAUGAAGGGGACAACUUCAGAUACUCAGGCAGAAGCAUAAGUCCCCACCUGCUGACCUGCUGCCUGCUAUCUUAACACGAAUUCUUCAUCUGAAUGGAUGAGCUUUUCACAGAGUUCCAAACUAAGGAAUCCAGGAGUGGCCAAUCCAGAGAUUCAUUCCUUAUCUUUGACGAACAUCUGAACUCCUGGCUCAUCCUGUGGAAUUCAGGCCAUACAGGAGAUCAAGGUCAUUUGCUUUGGGUUAAAUGAAUGUUGCCAGGUGGAGGUUGCUAGAGGGAGAGUGCUAUGUGAAAGUGCUGUAUAAACUGCUUGCUUUUCACAAACAGUAGUGAUUCUUUAUCCUGUCCAGCCUGCCACAACUGGACCAUCCUGUAUGUAAGUCCCCUUAAUAAAUCCUGUGUCUCAUUCACUGGCUUCAAGUCUCUUCCUGGGCCUCUUGAACGUGGUGCCACCUGUAUUGAAGUCAACAGAAGUUCAGCACAACACAGGUCAAAAUGAAGAUUCUGACUCAGUAGGUCAGGAUGUUCUAACGAGCUCUAGCUGACAUGAUACGUCAGGGCUGCAGACUAGCUUUGAGCAACAAGG
rnacentral:lncRNA from 1 species